rnacentral:rRNA from 1 species
AAAGAAUUAAUUAUUAUUAGUUUAUAGUUAAAUGAUUAUUUACCUUUAAAAUUAAUAUUUUUAGGUGAAAUUUUAAUUUUAUAAUAAUAGGUUUAUGUUGAAGCUAUGAAAUUUAGAUAAUAAACAAGGAUUAGAUACCCUUUUAUUCUAAAUGUUAAUAUUAACUAGGGUAGUAAUAGUUAUGUUCUUGAAACCCAAAGAAUUUGGCGGUAUUUUAUUCUUUUUAGAGGAACCUGUCCUGUAAUUGAUAACCCACGAUGGAGAGUUACUUAUUUUUGUUUCCAUUUUGUAUACCUCCGUCAUCAGAAUAUCUUUUUAGAGAAAAUAUUCUAAUAACACUAAAUGAGAUAUGUCAGGUCAAGGUGCAAUUUAUGAAUAAGUAGAGAUGGGUUACAAUAAAAAUAUUUAUACGGAUUAUAAUUAUUAUCUAUUUAUAUGAAGGUGGAUUUAAAAGUAAAAUUGUUUACUUAUCAAUUUGAUUUUAGCUCUAAAAUAUGCACACAUCGCCCGUCGCUCUUAUUUUAAAAUAAGAUAAGUCGUAACAUAGUAGAUGUACCGGAAGGUGUAUCUAGUAAGUCA